rnacentral:rRNA from 1 species
AACAAUUUUUGAGGCGUACCGACGAGAAUAAAAGGUUGCUAACUCUGUGCCAUCAGCAACGGUAAUACAGAGACCUCAAGCGUUAUCCGGAAUCAUUGGGCGUAAAGCGUACCGAUAGGUGGUUUGAAAAGCCAGAAGUGAAAUCCACGAGCUUAACUCGUGAUCUGUCUUUUGGAACUUUCGAACUAGAGGGGCAAAGAGGAAGCUGGAACGAACGGUGUAGUAAUGAAAUGCGUUGAUAUCGAUCGGAACACCAAUAGCGUAAGCAGGCUUCUGGGUGCCACCUGACACUGCUAGGACUAAAGCGUGGGGAACGAAUGGGAUUAUAUACCCC